rnacentral:rRNA from 1 species
UACGUAGGAUGCGAGCGUUAUCCGGAAUUACUGGGCGUAAAGCGUCCGCAGGUGGGAAUGUAAGUCUCUUAUCAAAUCCCGAUGCUCAACAUCGGACCUGUAAGGGAAACUGCAUUUCUAGAGGAUGGGAGAGGCUAGUGGAAUUCCCGGUGUAGGGGUAAAAUCCGUAGAUAUCGGGAGGAACACCAAAAGCGAAGGCAGCUAGCUGGAACAUUCCUGACCCUCAGGGACGAAAGCGUGGGGAGCGAAAAGG